rnacentral:misc_RNA from 1 species
GAUGAAGAACGCAGCGAAAUGCGAUAAGUAAUGUGAAUUGCAGAAUUCAGUGAAUCAUCGAAUCUUUGAACGCACCUUGCGCCCUUUGGCUAUUCCGAAGGGCAUGCCUGUUUGAGUAUCGUGAACACCUCAACUCUCAUGGUUUGCCAUGAUGAGCUUGGACUUUGGGGGUUUUGCUGGCCUUUGGUCGGCUCCUCUCAAACGGAUCAGCUUUCCAGUGUUUGGUGGCGUCACGGGUGUGAUAACUAUCUAUGCCUGUGGUUUUCUGCCAGAUAACCUUCAGCGAUGGAGGUUCGCUGGGGCUCAUAAAUGUCUCUCUUCAGUGGAGACAGCUUUUUGGACGUUUGAUCUCAAAUCAGGUAGGACUACCCGCUGAACUUAAGCAUAUCAAUAAGCGGAGGA